CAUCUUUGAGAAAUCAAUAUAAUACUUAAGUACUAUUUAGAGCUUAACAUCUCCUCAAAGAAU
rnacentral:tRNA from 1 species